CCUACGGGAGGCAGCAGUGGGGAAUAUUGCACAAUGGGCGCAAGCCUGAUGCAGCCAUGCCGCGUGUGUGAAGAAGGCCUUCGGGUUGUAAAGCACUUUCAGCGGGGAGGAAGGCGGUGAGGUUAAUAACCUCAUCGAUUGACGUUACCCGCAGAAGAAGCACCGGCUAACUCCGUGCCAGCAGCCGCGGUAAUACGGAGGGUGCAAGCGUUAAUCGGAAUUACUGGGCGUAAAGCGCACGCAGGCGGUCUGUCAAGUCGGAUGUGAAACCCCCGGGCUCAACCUGGGAACUGCAUUCGAAACUGGCAGGCUAGAGUCUUGUAGAGGGGGGUAGAAUUCCAGGUGUAGCGGUGAAAUGCGUAGAGAUCUGGAGGAAUACCGGUGGCGAAGGCGGCCCCCUGGACAAAGACUGACGCUCAGGUGCGAAAGCGUGGGGAGCAAACAGGAUUAGAUACCCGAGUAGUC
rnacentral:rRNA from 1 species